rnacentral:rRNA from 1 species
AUACGGAGGGUGCAAGCGUUACUCGGAAUCACUGGGCGUAAAGCGCGCGCAGGCGGCUAUUUAAGUUGGAUGUGAAAGCCUACGGCUCAACCGUAGAACUGCAUCCAAAACUAUUUAGCUAGAGUGUGGGAGAGGAAGAUGGAAUUAGUUGUGUAGGGGUAAAAUCCGUAGAGAUAACUAGGAAUACCAAAAGCGAAGGCAAUCUUCUGGAACACUACUGACGCUGAGGCGCGAAAGCGUGGGGAGUAAACAGGAUUAGAAACCCUAGUAGUCC